AUGUUUGUCUGAUUCGUUGUGCCAGGCGGGGAAGGAGCAGGUUUUGGAAGGGGAAAAGCAUGCGGCUGGUCUGGGAUACUGACACUCUAAUGGACAGGUUUUCAACUAACCGUUGCAUCUGAAGUUUUGAAUUCUGACACAACUUAGGCAGUCUUGAACAACACUUGCUUACUCUUCUGGUACCAAGAACAUGGUUUUGAUUUUGGAGUGGAACACUUGGUUAAUGAAAACAAGUAAAUCUAUGGCAGUUGCUAUCCAGGAUCAUAGAACUUGACAGGGUAAACCUAAGUAAGCACACUCCUAAACUUUUCUUGGCAUUCUGUAAUGCUUGUCAUGGUUUAAGAUCUUAUCAGUAC